UACAGAGGUCUCAAGCGUUGUUCGGAUUUAUUGGGCGUAAAGAGCGUGUAGGCGGCCAGGUAGGUCUGCUGUGAAAACUCGAGGCUCAACCUCGAGACGUCGGCGGAAACCAUCUGGCUAGAGUCCGGAAGAGGAGAGUGGAAUUCCUGGUGUAGCGGUGAAAUGCGCAGAUAUCAGGAAGAACACCCGUGGCGAAGGCGGCUCUCUGGGACGGUACUGACGCUGAGACGCGAAAGCGUGGGGAGCGAACAGG
rnacentral:rRNA from 1 species